rnacentral:rRNA from 1 species
CAGCAGCGGGGAAUUAUGGACAAUGGGGGCAACCGUUAUCCAGCAAAGCCGCUCGUGGGAAGAAGGCCUUCGUGUUGUAAACCACCUUUGUCAGGGAAGAAAUUGGCCUGGUUAAUACCCUGGCUGGAUGUCGGUACCGGCAGAAUAACCUCCGGCUGACUUCCUA